rnacentral:rRNA from 1 species
CGUGCUUAACACAUGCAAGUCGAACGAUGAAGCCUCUUCGGGGUGGAUUAGUGGCGAACGGGUGAGUAACACGUGGGUAACCUGCCCUUGGCUUUGGGAUAAGCCCUGGAAACGGGGUCUAAUACCGGAUAUGACCAACUUUCGCAUGGAGGUUGGUGGAAAGUUCCGGCGGCCAGGGAUGGGCCCGCGGCCUAUCAGCUUGUUGGUGGGGUGAUGGCCUACCAAGGCGACGACGGGUAGCCGGCCUGAGAGGGCGACCGGCCACACUGGGACUGAGACACGGCCCAGACUCCUACGGGAGGCAGCAGUGGGGAAUAUUGCACAAUGGGCGAAAGCCUGAUGCAGCGACGCCGCGUGAGGGAUGACGGCCUUCGGGUUGUAAACCUCUUUCGACAGGGACGAAGCGCAAGUGACGGUACCUGUAGAAGAA